rnacentral:rRNA from 1 species
CGGUAUUAUGACCGUGCGAAGGUAGCAUAAUCAUUAGUCUUUUAAUUGGAGGCUGGAAUGAAUGGUUGGACGAGAAAUAAACUGUCUUUGUCUUAAAAAUUGAAUUUAACUUUUAAGUGAGAGGGCUUAAAUGGAUUAAAGGGACGAUAAGACCCUGUAAAGUUUAUACAUUAAAUUAAUUAAAAAUAAUUAAGGAGAUUAAAAUUUAUUAUUGGGGAGAUGUUUAGUUGGGGCGACUAGGAUAUAAUUUAAUUAUAACUGUCUUAGAUUAAGGUCAAAGAUAUUUGAGUUUAUGAUCCUUUUUUAGGAUUCAAGAACAAGUUACUUCAGGGAUAACAGCGUAAUUUUUUUUGAGAGUUCUUAUCGACAAAAGAGUUUGCGACCUCGAUGUUGAAUUAAAAGUUUCUCUGAAGUGCAGCAAUUUCAGGAGAAGG